GUCUACAGCUACCCUGAACGUGCCUGAUCGCUUCUGAUCUCAGAAGCUAAGCAGGGUCGGGUGACCACCUUGGACUACCAGGUGCUGUAGGCA
rnacentral:rRNA from 1 species